UACAGAGGGUGCAAGCGUUGUUCGGAAUUAUUGGGCGUAAAGGGAGUGUAGGCGGCUUGUUAAGUCUUCUGUGAAAUCUACGGGCUUAGCCUGUAACGUGCAGAGGAAACUGGCGAGCUUGAGUGUCGGAGAGGGUAGCGGAAUUCCCGGUGUAGAGGUGAAAUUCGUAGAGAUCGGGAGGAACACCUGUGGCGAAGGCGGCCAUCUGGACGAUAACUGACGCUGAGACGCGAAAGCGUGGGUACGCAAACAGG
rnacentral:rRNA from 1 species